UACGUAGGGUGCGAGCGUUGUCCGGAAUUACUGGGCGUAAAGAGCUCGUAGGUGGUUUGUCGCGUUGUUCGUGAAAACCGGGGGCUUAACCCUCGGCGUGCGGGCGAUACGGGCAGACUUGAGUACUGCAGGGGAGACUGGAAUUCCUGGUGUAGCGGUGAAAUGCGCAGAUAUCAGGAGGAACACCGGUGGCGAAGGCGGGUCCCUGGGCCGUUACUGACGCUGAGGAGCGAAAGCGUGGGGAGCGAACAGG
rnacentral:rRNA from 1 species